rnacentral:tRNA from 1 species
GCGCUCGUGGUGCAGUGGCAACACACUUGCCUUCCAAGCAAGUGUCCCGGGUUCAAUUCCCGGUGGGCGCA